rnacentral:lncRNA from 1 species
GAACCGCGAUGGUACUCCGAACCGCGAUGGUCACGCUGAAGUGCGAUGGUCCACGCUGAAGUGCGUUGGUUAAUACGCUGAAGUGAGAUGGUGACAUUGUGACGUUAACUUGUUGAUAACUAUACGCCGAAGUGCGAUGAUGGUUACGCUGAAGUACGAUGGUCUUCCUGUGACAUUGGAAAAAAAGCAAAAUGUAUAUACAAGCUGGUUAAAAGAAAUAAUAUCAUAACGAUUUGAGAAAAUGUAUAGCCCUUAGCCUCGAAUUAUGAAGAUUUUAAUUUUCUGUUUAUGUCAAACAAAACUUAAGGCUUUAAAUUUUGAUUUUUUUAAUCUAAUUUUAAAAUAUGCUAAUUCUCCGAUUAGCACGCAGUAGUUGAGAGUAAAAUAAUAUGCCGUUCAAGACGGAAAAAAAAAAGAUACAGCGUGUAGGUCUAUAUAAUAGUACCUAGAAGGGUCCAUCUCAUUUUAUUAUAUAUUACGACAAAACUUAGAAAUUGCUCACAACAAUUAUUCAUCCAUUUAUAUAUACCCGAUUGCUCACGGAGUAAAAAAAAACACUUUGUGCAUUUAUGUAUGACAAAU